ensembl:snRNA U6 U6 spliceosomal RNA
GUGCCCACUUUGGCAGCACAUAUACUAAAAUUGGAGCAAUGUAGAAAAGAUUAACAUGGCCCCUGUGCAAGGAUGACACAGAUUCAUGAAGUGUCCCAUAGUUUU